UACGUAGGGUGCAAGCGUUGUCCGGAAUUAUUGGGCGUAAAGAGCUCGUAGGCGGUCUGUUGCGUCGGCUGUGAAAACCCGAGGCUCAACCUCGGGCCUGCAGCCGAUACGGGCAGACUAGAGUUUGGCAGGGGAGACUGGAAUUCCUGGUGUAGCGGUGAAAUGCGCAGAUAUCAGGAGGAACACCCAUAGCGAAGGCAGCUUGCUGGGACGUUACUGACGCUAAGGCGCGAAAGCGUGGGGAGCGAACAGG
rnacentral:rRNA from 1 species